rnacentral:lncRNA from 1 species
ACUUUCAUCUGGAGCUCCACCUCACACUGGACUCCCGCUGGCAUCCUACAUGUAGACAGCCCCUUCUUGCAUAAAAGAACAUCGAUCAACCCUUCACGAUUGAUUUCUACCUUGAUUGUGCCUGUCUUCUCCAUCUUUAAUCUUGAUCACCACUGUCGCAAUCUGGACUCUGGUACCACCCAACUCUGAUACCAAUUAUUGUGAUGUCACUUGCUCUGAUACCACUUGUUGAAGAUCCAGACCAUCCAUUG